UAGGGAAUAUUAGAAAUGGACGAAAGUCUGAUCUAGCGACACCGCGUGUGCGAUGAAGGCCUUCGGGUUGUAAAGCACUUUUUGGAAGGAAUAGGAAGGAAGGUACUUCCAGAAUAAGUCUCGGCUAACUACGUGCCAGCAGCCGCGGUAACACGUAGGAGGCAAACGUUAUCCGGUUUUACUGGGCGGAAAGCGCGUGUAGGUGGUUCUGUAAGUAGGGCGUGAAAGCUCCCGGCUCAACUGGGAGAGGCCGUUCGAAACUGCAGAACUAGAGGAUGGUAGAGGGAGUUGGAAUUUCAGGUGUAGCGGUGGAAUGCGCAGAUAUCUGAAGGAACACCAGUGGCGAAAGCGGCCUCCUGGACCAUUCCUGACACUCAGACACGAAAGCUAGGGUAGCAAACG
rnacentral:rRNA from 1 species